GGUUAAGCGACUAAGCGUACACGGUGGAUGCCCUGGCAGUCAGAGGCGAUGAAGGACGUGCUAAUCUGCGAAAAGCGUCGGUAAGGUGAUAUGAACCGUUACAGCCGGCGAUGUCCGAAUGGGGAAACCCAGUGCAAUUCGUUGCACUAUCGUUAACUGAAUACAUAGGUUAACGAGGCGAACCGGGGGAACUGAAACAUCUAAGUACCCCGAGGAAAAGAAAUCAACCGAGAUUCCCCCAGUAGCGGCGAGCGAACGGGGAGCAGCCCAGAGUCUGAAUCAGCUUGUGUGUUAGUGGAACGGUCUGGAAAGUCCGACGGUACAGGGUGAUAGUCCCGUACACCAAAAUGCACAGGCUGUGAACUCGAAGAGUAGGGCGGGACACGUGGUAUCCUGUCUGAAUAUGGGGGGACCAUCCUCCAAGGCUAAAUACUCCUGACUGACCGAUAGUGAACCAGUACCGUGAGGGAAAGGCGAAAAGAACCCCGGCGAGGGGAGUGAAAAAGAACCUGAAACCGUGUACGUACAAGCAGUGGGAGCACCUUCGGGUGUGACUGCGUACCUUUUGUAUAAUGGGUCAGCGACUUAUAUUCUGUAGCAAGGUUAACCGUAUAGGGGAGCCGCAGGGAAACCGAGUCUUAACUGGGCGUUAAGUUGCAGGGUAUAGACCCGAAACCCGGUGAUCUAGCCAUGGGCAGGUUGAAGGUUGGGUAACACUAACUGGAGGACCGAACCGACUAAUGUUGAAAAAUUAGCGGAUGACUUGUGGCUGGGGGUGAAAGGCCAAUCAAACCGGGAGAUAGCUGGUUCUCCCCGAAAGCUAUUUAGGUAGCGCCUCGUGAAUUCAUCUUCGGGGGUAGAGCACUGUUUCGGCUAGGGGGUCAUCCCGACUUACCAACCCGAUGCAAACUACGAAUACCGAAGAAUGUUAUCACGGGAGACACACGGCGGGUGCUAACGUCCGUCGUGAAGAGGGAAACAACCCAGACCGCCAGCUAAGGUCCCAAAGUCACAGUUAAGUGGGAAACGAUGUGGGAAGGCACAGACAGCCAGGAUGUUGGCUUAGAAGCAGCCAUCAUUUAAAGAAAGCGUAAUAGCUCACUGGUCGAGUCGGCCUGCGCGGAAGAUGUAACGGGGCUAAACUGUGCACCGAAGCUGCGGCAGCGACACUAUGUGUUGUUGGGUAGGGGAGCGUUCUGUAAGCCUGCGAAGGUGGCCUGUGAGGGUUGCUGGAGGUAUCAGAAGUGCGAAUGCUGACAUAAGUAACGAUAAUGCGGGUGAAAAGCCCGCACGCCGGAAGACCAAGGGUUCCUGUCCAACGUUAAUCGGGGCAGGGUGAGUCGACCCCUAAGGCGAGGCCGAAAGGCGUAGUCGAUGGGAAACAGGUUAAUAUUCCUGUACUUGGUGUUACUGCGAAGGGGGGACGGAGAAGGCUAUGUUAGCCGGGCGACGGUUGUCCCGGUUUAAGCAUGUAGGCGGAGGUUCCAGGUAAAUCCGGUACCUUUUAACGCUGAGGUGUGAUGACGAGGCACUACGGUGCUGAAGUAACAAAUGCCCUGCUUCCAGGAAAAGCCUCUAAGCAUCAGGUAACAUUGAAUCGUACCCCAAACCGACACAGGUGGUCAGGUAGAGAAUACCAAGGCGCUUGAGAGAACUCGGGUGAAGGAACUAGGCAAAAUGGUGCCGUAACUUCGGGAGAAGGCACGCUGAUAUGUAGGUGAAGNCCCUGCGGGUGGAGCUGAAAUCAGUCGAAGAUACCAGCUGGCUGCAACUGUUUAUUAAAAACACAGCACUGUGCAAACACGAAAGUGGACGUAUACGGUGUGACGCCUGCCCGGUGCCGGAAGGUUAAUUGAUGGGGUUAUCCGUAAGGAGAAGCUCUUGAUCGAAGCCCCGGUAAACGGCGGCCGUAACUAUAACGGUCCUAAGGUAGCGAAAUUCCUUGUCGGGUAAGUUCCGACCUGCACGAAUGGCGUAAUGAUGGCCAGGCUGUCUCCACCCGAGACUCAGUGAAAUUGAACUCGCUGUGAAGAUGCAGUGUACCCGCGGCAAGACGGAAAGACCCCGUGAACCUUUACUAUAGCUUGACACUGAACAUUGAGCCUUGAUGUGUAGGAUAGGUGGGAGGCUUUGAAGCGUGGACGCCAGUCUGCGUGGAGCCAACCUUGAAAUACCACCCUUUAAUGUUUGAUGUUCUAACGUUGGCCCCUAAUCGGGGUUGCGGACAGUGUCUGGUGGGUAGUUUGACUGGGGCGGUCUCCUCCCAAAGAGUAACGGAGGAGCACGAAGGUUAGCUAAUCCUGGUCGGACAUCAGGAGGUUAGUGCAAUGGCAUAAGCUAGCUUGACUGCGAGCGUGACGGCGCGAGCAGGUGCGAAAGCAGGUCAUAGUGAUCCGGUGGUUCUGAAUGGAAGGGCCAUCGCUCAACGGAUAAAAGGUACUCCGGGGAUAACAGGCUGAUACCGCCCAAGAGUUCAUAUCGACGGCGGUGUUUGGCACCUCGAUGUCGGCUCAUCACAUCCUGGGGCUGAAGUAGGUCCCAAGGGUAUGGCUGUUCGCCAUUUAAAGUGGUACGCGAGCUGGGUUUAGAACGUCGUGAGACAGUUCGGUCCCUAUCUGCCGUGGGCGCUGGAGAAUUGAGGGGGGCUGCUCCUAGUACGAGAGGACCGGAGUGGACGCAUCACUGGUGUUCGGGUUGUCAUGCCAAUGGCAUUGCCCGGUAGCUAAAUGCGGAAGAGAUAAGUGCUGAAAGCAUCUAAGCACGAAACUUGCCCCGAGAUGAGUUCUCCCUGAGACUUUAAGUCUCCUGAAGGAACGUUAAAGACGAUGACGUUGAUAGGUCGGGUGUGUAAGCGUAGCGAUACGUUGAGCUAACCGAUACUAAUGAACCGUGAGGCUUAACCUU
rnacentral:rRNA from 1 species